GAUACUGGGUAAGAGACGCGAUACAUCAACCUUGACAUUAAUUCAAAUGACUUUGGGAAAAUUGCUCUCAUUUGUGACCAUUAUAUAUAUGUAAAUAAAUGAUGCAAACACCUCCAUUUUAAACGAUUCCAACUAUACAUUCAUAUCUGUCCACUACAAGUCUUAGUAUUUAUAGUUUGUUUUUCUCAACUUGCUUUGUUAGCUCUCUUUCUUUUUUGUUUUUGAUAGGUUAAAA
rnacentral:lncRNA from 1 species